UUGUAUGUGAUGUCCAGUCUAUAUGUUGUUUGGUUAGUGCUACCACCAAGCUAUGAAGGAUGGUCGCGAACGUUUCGCAUACAUGCAAAUAUGACUUACUGCCAUCAACCACUACAAGAAAGACUUCUCAUGCUGGGUACUGGAUAUCCUGAUAAUCUCCGUCUCCAGUACUCGCUCUGCGAUUAUGGGCCAUCAACUCGUUCCUCAUAACACUCCAGCGGUGUGGAUCCUAAGGCUAAGGGAGUCAUUUUUUCUGUACCUUCAUUAGUAUCUUAUUAUUUUUCUUUGAUUUACACACCGACUUUAAAGAAGCCAAGUGUUUCUUCAAAUUUGGGCGCUAUAUUACUACGGGACUGCUUGUUUACCGGUAGGCCGCGCCGUCUGCCUCAUAGGUUUCUUUUGGGUGUAGUCAAAUCCCUGGCCCGCAGUCCGCACAAUGAUAACAAAGCUACACGUCUGUAGCAAAGCAGACCUAUACAACACAAUGCAAAACGAACCACAAACUGCGAUAACAUCAAACAGUCGGAACGUCUUACAAAUGAACAACAUAAACAGCUGCGACUACAAAUAAAGUUUUCCAGAUCAGGUCCCGGACCCAGCGUACCCGCCCUACCAUGAGACGAUCACCUUCACUCGUCUCCCUUAUUUUGGCCACUAGAUGGCCUUCAUUAGCCGUACAUGUCUCUCUUCAGGAUAUCACCAAGUUACUAUUUAUAAUUUCGUGCAAGUGGAUAUCACUGGCAUUUUAAUAGUUCCGUAUAAUUAUUUUUGUAUCUUCUCAUUGUUAUGUUAUGUCAUGGACAAUGGCUAUUAAUUUUUUUAAAUUUUGAAUUUUUAGCGAAGCAAAAACGUCACCGAAAGUUAAGACCAUUUGCCACCGGAACCACGUUAGAGGACAAAUGAAUUAUUAUGAAAGUCAGCAAUAAACUCUUCACAAGCUCGCA